rnacentral:lncRNA from 10 species
CCCGCGGCGACCGGAGGAUGUCCCCUAAACUGCUCCGAUUCACAAACAAAGGCCAGUUGCUUAGCUCCAGCGCGCCCAGACUGGGAGAUGAAAACCUCAUCAAGACCAGCACUGAUUUGGGAAUCACCAAUAGAGUCAACACCUUACUUGCAGAUGAUGAAACUAAGGCCCCCUAAGGUGAACUGUGAACUGAAUUGAUGAAAACUGGGACCAAAGCCCAGAUCUCUGGGCUCCUUGUCUGGUAUUUAUUUUCCCUGCUUUCUUCAUAAUUAAAUUCAGUGUAAUGACCCAGACAUAGAGCAAGAUCCUGGAGUGUCUUCUUAAUCAUCAAAUAUUGUCCUCUAUAAAGUUAUAAUGUUUAGUGAAUUUGCUGUGGUCGAAUUCUUUUAAAAAUGGCUAACACAUGUGUGAGAAUUUGCUAGUGACCACCUAGAGUGCUUGUUCCCUAAGGGAUUAUUGACUAUUCUUUGAAACUAUAAUAACAGACAACAACAACAAAAAAAAAAAAAAAAAAGGAAAAGAAAAUUAAGAUUGAGCUUAAUCACUUCAUUCACUUAAGUACUUAUUACAUGUAAAAACACUGUGUUGAGGAGGUUUUGGGAUUGGUGAAUCUCAUGUCAAGGUGGUUUUAGAAUAGCCCUUUACAAAUGUAAAAUAUUAAUUUACUAAAUCGCAUGACUGUAUUAGUCCAUUUUUCACACUGCUGAUAAAGACAUACCUGAGACUGGGCAAUUUACAAAAAAAA